UGGAACAACAGCCUAGAAGGGAAUACACAAUGUCUUGCAGUUACUGCAUAGUCAUGAAUAGGGGAUCACCCGCCCCGUCUGACAAGAUUGAGGAAUACACAAUCCCCCUCGCCAGGAAGACUAAGGAAUGUACUGGUCUGAGAUCUAGUGUGGUUCCUCUUACAUCUCCUUAUAUGU